UUUCUUUGUCAGGUUUUAUACAAACAUUCUUUCUAAUGUUCUCCUCAUCAAAGUGUGACAGUGUCACAUUGCUUCCAUCAUCCAGAAAGCAAAUGUAUCUGAGUAGGAGGAAUUUAGCUAUAUUUCACAUCAUGGAGGCAAAAUCUGCAAAAUUUAAAAAUGGAGAGCAAUAGUAUAGAAAGGAAUUGCUUUACAGGUGUUGCUUUAAAUUACAUUUUUGUAGAUGAUGAAGCAUGCAGGAGACUUCUGUUGCAUUCCUUCGAGCAUAGUUGUUUUCUCAUCACAUCUGUCUGACAUGUUAUAGUGUUACUGUAAGUUUGCCUCCCUGCUCUGUGGUUCAUGGAAGGAAUUUUGUUGCAUGUUUCCACCCCA
rnacentral:lncRNA from 1 species